GAGUACCUAAGCUCAUCACACUCGUUAGACAAUAGCAAGUAAGAAGAUUAAUUAACAAUAAUAUUUGGCCUAUUGACUGAACAUGAAAUUAUUAUUAAUCUUAUUACUAUGUUGGUCAAGAGAUGUAUAUUUUCAUUCUCUAGGAAAGGUUUACCUUUUACAUUUAAUGAUAUUUUAGUAUAUUUACAAUUAUACAUUUCACAUGAAAAAAGUCUUUUUAACACAAAUGUCUUUCUGAAAAGGUGGUCAAAAUGGAAAUGCCUUUUUGAAUAACUUCAUUUUUCAAAUGAUUUAAUUGCUGUUACUUUAAUAUGCUACUCUUGUUAUUUUUAAUUAUUCUUCCCAACUGUGUGAAUGCAAGGUUGAAAGUUGUGUUGUAUGUUGAUAAAUGUUUUGAAAAGCUAUUAAAAAAAACAAGCAAAAAAAAAAAAAAAAACCCCAGAAGAUUAAUUAACAUCAUUUCAGGAUUUUAUUUUUAUGAGCAAAUAUAUAUUAUUGAUGACAAAAGUUACUUUUGUCAACAGUUGGGUGUCAGUUAAGAAGGAAUGCUACACCAGAUAACUUUGAUGUGGAUGAAAAAUGGAGGAUAUGUACAAUACAUGUAUUUUGAAAGUGAAAACUUUUAAAUUAACCUUAUUUAGUCAAAAAAUGCAGCUUUGUAAAAAGUAAUCUGAAAAAAAUUAAUAAAACCCCUCCCAGUUUCCUACCUGCGAUUUACAGUUCAGCAGUCGACGUGCUAAUCCAAUAAGUUACUCGGUAAGGCAAUGAAAUCCAAAAUGAGAAGAAUAUUGCUGAUAUUUAUAUUUUAAUUCAUGGUUUAAAAGGAUAUCACCCAUUAUGAUGCUAUAGAGUACCCCCUUAAAUCCUUUAUUUCACAAGAAGAAAAAUGUCUCAUUUUAUAGGGAUCACGGCGGGUUUGACCGGUCGACAGGGGAUGCUUACUCUGAUCGUCCUAGGCACCUGAUCCCACUUCUGGUGUGUCCAAGGGUCCGUGUUUGUUCAACUAUCUAUUUUGCAUUGCUUAUAGAAUUUAUGAGAUUGAUUACUGUUCGUUAUAUUCACCUUUCAUAUACCUGACUCAAACAACGAAGUAAUUCUAUUGUACUGUGAGGCAAAUAAAAAUUCAAAUACAGUAUGUCAAAAAAUGUCGAACUGUCUUGAAGACUGUAUCGAAGUAAAUGACACUUGCUACAAACAUAACGUUGUUUUUUUUUCCUGAAAUGAGGAAAAUGGACACUUAAUUUAUGUUAAUGUUAUAAGUAAAAUGAAUACAGCUGAUAAAGAACAUGACCCGCGAACCAUGAAAAAUGGCCUAGCCUGGGAUAUUGAUAAUUUCUGUAUAUAAUAAUCUUCGGGAUAUAGGCUUUCUAGAAAUGUUUUUCUUUUUUUCACAUAUUCUAUACUUUUUUGUUAAUAUGACGUUGAAUAUUGUGGUGUUUAAUGUUAAAAAAUUAACAUUUCGGGAUACACGUCACAACAAUAAACCUCCAAUGACCAUGUACAAUGUACAUGAACCUAUAAAUCUCUGAAUAUAUCAAGUUAUAUGCACUCAAAUAGCUAGAAUGGCUUAUUCAAUGAUCAUAAUAAGCAUUUUUGACCAAAUUUGGGAAAUACAAAUAAGAAAUAUUUGGAAAUGACGUUCAAAGCCGUGAUUGUUCAACUUUACUUUUGAAUUAUUUUUACUUGAAUUUUAAAAUACUGAAGUAAGAAGAAUAAAUAUAGUAUGUAGUCUAUUUACAUGGUGAGAGGAGUGAAUCAUUGGAACAAUUCUGUUUCAUAUCAUAUUUCAUAGUUUUUUAAUAUUUUUUUUUUUUGGAAUUAAAACGACCGAGUAUCGAUAUCAAUGGUAACGAAAUAAGUUGACACCGCGUCUCGUCAAAACAUGUUCAAUUCGAAUUUACUCGGAAUUACACGUUCAACGAGCAUUUCCUGUGAAACCUGAUUAAAGGAAAAUUACUGUAGACACCUAAUAGUUUACAUAUGUCAGCAAGUCCUCAAAAGCAGCUUUAGGGGUUCCCAGGAGAUUCUGAUGCUCACUGUUAGACUUUCACUGUUGUCAAAAUCCAACCUUAUUUUCUCUUUUCUCAAAACUUCAGCUCUCAAAAACUUGAUUGAUUAAUUAUGUCACUCCUGUUUUGUUGAACAUGGUGUUGUCAGCAAUAGGUUCAAGUUCUUCUAUGUCUUGUUGUAGGUGAUUGAUACAGAAGCGAGCCCCGGCAGGAUUGAUGGCCUCUUUUGAAAUGAAGAUUUCAUGCCUUACUCCUACUGGGACUACAACUAACUUUGGACCUGGUCACUCGCAGAUACAGCAUGAAGUGUGCCCUCUUGAUGUACAUGGGAAUGGGAGUGAUACAGAAGGGGGACUAAUUGGAAAAACUGCUGCUGCUGGUGCUGGACUGUCUUGAAUCUGUGGCCUAACCGAGUUGAUAUUCUUCUGUUUAAUAUGGGAGCAACACACACACACUGGCAUCUAUUGCACAGAAAAUCAUGAUCAGAUGGUGCCCUCCCUAUCAGAGUGGUAAUCACUGUCCUAUAUUUCUUUGAAAUCCUGGAUCUGUGUUUUGGUUUUACUCUCCAUGGACAAUUGAAACAGAGAAAGAAUUUGGGACCAUUCCUUGGGAUAUCUGAAAUAUUUAUGUCAUAUACAUGUAAUUGAAAUUAUACAAUUUGGGUUGGAUGAAAAUCUUAUCUUCAUGUUAAAGCCCAUUAGCCUAGGUUAUUUUUCCUAAAAUCUAAUUAUAAAUCAAUUAACUUGUUAAUUAAUGCUUGGUGAAUCAAUUAAUAAAUUGUAUUCAAAAACUUGGAAUUAUUUUUUUUUCCACUAAUAAACUGAAAAUGUGUA